CUGGCUGGGCGUGGCUACCUACAUUCCGAUUCCCGCCAACUCACCUCCUCAGCUGCUGCUCAUCUCACUGAUUGCCACUACUCACCUGCACCUGCUUAAAACCCUGGUUCCCAUCUUCAGACUUCGCCAGUUCUUCGUUUAUUCUUCAGUGAUCCACAUACUCCAGCUGCUCUGCCUGCCACGUCCAGCCUCCCCUCCUGAGCAGCCCAGCUCCACGUCUUCCCUCUAUGUGUGCUUCGUCAACUCCUUGUCAGUGUCGUGGACAAAAUAAAGCCUUUUUGACACUUCA